rnacentral:rRNA from 1 species
GACGAACGCUGGCGGCGUGCUUAACACAUGCAAGUCGAACGGAAAGGCCCUGCUUUUGUGGGGUGCUCGAGUGGCGAACGGGUGAGUAACACGUGAGUAACCUGCCCUUGACUUUGGGAUAACUUCAGGAAACUGGGGCUAAUACCGGAUAGGAGCUCCUGCUGCAUGGUGGGGGUUGGAAAGUUUCGGCGGUUGGGGACGGACUCGCGGCUUAUCAGCUUGUUGGUGGGGUAGUGGCUUACCAAGGCUUUGACGGGUAGCCGGCCUGAGAGGGUGACCGGCCACAUUGGGACUGAGAUACGGCCCAGACUCCUACGGGAGGCAGCAGUGGGGAAUAUUGCACAAUGGGCGGAAGCCUGAUGCAGCAACGCCGCGUGCGGGAUGACGGCCUUCGGGUUGUAAACCGCCUUCGCCUGUGACGAAGCGUGAGUGACGGUAAUGGGUAAAGAAGCACCGGCUAACUACGUG